UUGAAUAUUAAAUAUUUUUGAUAAUAUAAAAUUAGACUUAUUUUAAAAAAAAUAUUGCAUCCACAAAUUUUCUCCCUCUCAUUGCUAGGGUUAGUGCUCUGAAUAUGCUUAGUUUUUUUACUCUCUAUCUUCUAAAAAAUAUCUAAUCUUGUAAUUUGUUUUGAUUGCAGAAAUGGAACUAAUCAAAAUUUUGAUGAAAAGUAUGUUGGAGGAAAUAACUGAUAAACUUGGAUUUCCUAAACCAAUUUAUGGUGUGAACAUUUGAGAAAAUAUUUUUUUUAAAUCAUAUGUAAAAAUCAAACUUGGGCAGGAAGA
rnacentral:lncRNA from 1 species